rnacentral:rRNA from 1 species
AGUCGAGGGGCAGCAUGAACUUAGCUUGCUAAGUUUGAUGGCGACCGGCGCACGGGUGAGUAACACGUAUCCAACCUGCCGAUGACUCGGGGAUAGCCUUUCGAAAGAAAGAUUAAUACCCGAUGGCAUAGUUCUUCCGCAUGGUAGGACUAUUAAAGAAUUUCGGUCAUCGAUGGGGAUGCGUUCCAUUAGCUUGUUGGCGGGGUAACGGCCCACCAAGGCAUCGAUGGAUAGGGGUUCUGAGAGGAAGGUCCCCCACAUUGGAACUGAGACACGGUCCAAACUCCUACGGGAGGCAGCAGUGAGGAAUAUUGGUCAAUGGGCGCUAGCCUGAACCAGCCAAGUAGCGUGAAGGAUGACUGCCCUAUGGGUUGUAAACUUCUUUUAUAUGGGAAUAAAGUGCAGUAUGUAUACUGCUUUGCAUGUACCUUAUGAAUAAGGAUUGGCUAACUCCGUGCCAGCAGCCGCGGUAAUACGGAGGAUCCGAGCGUUAUCCGGAUUUAUUGGGUUUAAAGGGAGCGUAGGCGGGUUGUUAAGUCAGUUGUGAAAGUCUGCGGCUCAACCGUAAAAUUGCAGUUGAUACUGGCAUCCUUGAGUACAGUAGAGGUAGGCGGAAUUCGUGGUGUAGCGGUGAAAUGCUUAGAUAUCACGAAGAACUCCGAUUGCGAAGGCAGCCUGCUGGACUGUAACUGACGCUGAUGCUCGAAAGUGUGGGUAUCAAACAGGAUUAGAUACCCUGGUAGUCCACACAGUAAACGAUGAAUACUCGCUGUUUGC